UACGUAGGCAGCAAGCGUUGUUCGGAAUCACUGGGCGUAAAGCGCACGUAGGCGGAUCUUUAAGUCAGGGGUGAAAUCCUGGAGCUCAACUCCAGAACUGCCUUUGAUACUGGGGAUCUCGAGUCCGGGAGAGGUGAGUGGAACUGCGAGUGUAGAGGUGAAAUUCGUAGAUAUUCGCAAGAACACCAGUGGCGAAGGCGGCUCACUGGCCCGGAACUGACGCUGAGGUGCGAAAGCGUGGGGAGCAAACAGGG
rnacentral:rRNA from 1 species